rnacentral:rRNA from 1 species
CAGCCGCCGCGGUAAUCCGAAGGGUGCAAGCGUUAAUCGGAAUUACUGGGCGUAAAGCGUGCGUAGGCGGUGAGUUAAGUCUGUUGUGAAAUCCCCGGGCUCAACCUGGGAAUGGCAAUGGAUACUGGCAAGCUAGAGUGUGUCAGAGGAUGGUGGAAUUCCCGGUGUAGCGGUGAAAUGCGUAGAGAUCGGGAGGAACAUCAGUGGCGAAGGCGGCCAUCUGGGACAACACUGACGCUGAGGCACGAAAGCGUGGGGAGCAAACUGGAUUAGAUACCCCUGUAGUCCCUGUUUCUUAUAC